rnacentral:rRNA from 1 species
GUGGGGAAUCUUGCGCAAUGGGCGAAAGCCUGAUCCAGCCAUGCCGCGUGAGUGAUGAAGGCCUUAGGGUUGUAAAGCUCUUUCAGUGGGGACGAUAAUGACGGUACCCACAGAAGAAGCCCCGGCUAACUUCGUGCCAGCAGCCGCGGUAAUACGAAGGGGGCUAGCGUUGUUCGGAUUUACUGGGCGUAAAGCGCACGUAGGCGGAUCGUUAAGUCGGGGGUGAAAUCCUGGAGCUCAACUCCAGAACUGCCUUCGAUACUGGCGAUCUUGAGUCCGGAAGAGGUGAGUGGAACUCCUAGUGUAGAGGUGGAAUUCGUAGAUAUUAGGAAGAACACCAGUGGCGAAGGCGGCUCACUGGUCCGGUACUGACGCUGAGGUGCGAAAGCGUGGGGAGCAAACAGGAUUAGAUACCCCUGUAGUCC